CCUACGGGGGGCUGCAGUGGGGAAUAUUGGGCAAUGGGCGAAAGCCUGACCCAGCGACGCCGCGUGGGCGAUGAAGGCCUUCGGGUUGUAAAGCCCUGUCAUGCGGAAAGAACGACCCUGUGACGCAUACUCACAGGGAGUGACGGUACCGCAGGAGGAAGCACCGGCUAACUCCGUGCCAGCAGCCGCGGUAAUACGGAGGGUGCAUGCGUUGUACGGAGUUAGUGGGCGUUAAGGGCGCUUAGACGGUAAAUACUCCGGCUCAACUGGGGAACUGCAUCUGAAACUGCAUAACUAGAGUACAGAAGAGGGAAACGGAAUUCCCGGUGUAGAGGUGAAAUUCGUAGAUAUCGGGAGGAACACCAGUGGCGAAGGCGGUUUCCUGGUCUGAUACUGACGCUGAGGCGCGAAAGUGUGGGGAGCAAACAGGAUUAGAUACCCGUGUAGUC
rnacentral:rRNA from 1 species